rnacentral:misc_RNA from 1 species
GCCUACUGUAGGUACUUCUUUUUGUGUGUAUCAAAUGUGUAUGUAGUUAUGUAGUAAAUAGCCUGAGCCCGAGUUUGUGUAAUAUACGUAACAAUAAAAAAAACUUCAUUCCAAAUUCUUCUUCUUCUUCUUUAAUACAGGGAUUAGAGUUUGCCUCUUCUGUUUUCAACGAGAAUUAUGACCAUAUUUUGCGAAGUCUUCCUAAACGUCCCUAGAUUGUAAAAAAUGAUUAAUGAUGACUCCACUGUUCAUUUCCAAGCGACUUCACCUGUCACAAAUACAUCUCCGUCAUCUAUAGAAA